rnacentral:lncRNA from 1 species
GAGAAUGUUAAUGCGAUUAUCUCUCUAAGGUCGGGAAAUCAAGUGGAUAACAAAGUUGGUGAGAACGUUAAUGAAAAUGAGGAGUCGAUUCCUAAAACAAAUCCUUCUUUGUCUAGCACUAAUCAUGAUAAGCCCGAAUGUUCUAGAGUCCGUGAGUCUAUGAGUGAACCUAGUCCUGGGCCCAUUUCUCAAAAGCCCAACGAAGAAGUUUAUAAGCC